GGCCAUGGUAAGGAUUGACGGACUGAAGGCUCUUUCUCGAUUCCGUGGAAAGUGGUGCAUGGCCGUUUUGGUUGGUGGAUCGAUCCGUCUGGUUAAUUCCGUUAACGAACGAGACCUCGGCACUCCGAAUAGCGCGGCGGACGUCGCGGCCUCCGGGCCGUCUUCCGCACGAGCUUCUUAGAGGGACCGUCCCCCGCCGGGGAAGGAGGUGCGAGGCAACGACAGGUCUGUGAUGCCCUUAGAUGUUCUGGGCCGCACGCGCAUUACACUGACGCGUCCAACGGGUGACUCCCGACCCGAAGGGGCCGGGGAAUCCGCAAGGCGCGUCGUGAUGGGGAUUGAACGUUGCAAUUGUUGUUCACGAACGAGGAAUUCCUAGUAGGCGCGGGUCAUCAACCCGCGCCGAUUACGUCCCUG
rnacentral:rRNA from 1 species